UGCCUCCUAGCUCAAUUGGCAGAGCGUCCGAUUGUUAAUCGGGUCGUUGUAGGUUCAAAUCCUACUGAGGCAGCCA
rnacentral:tRNA from 2 species